UUUUAUAAAUUAUUUUAUUAAAAUUGUUUAUUAAUUUUAAAUUAAAAUAGGAUUAUUUAUUUUAUUGGGGUGAUAAAAAAAUAUAAUUAACUUUUUGAUUUAAUUAACAUAGAUAAAUGAAUUUAUGAUCCAGUAUUAUUGAUU
rnacentral:rRNA from 1 species